rnacentral:ncRNA from 2 species
CUGUCAGCAGCGGGAGAAUCCGGGUCCGCCCGGUGCCGAAGGAGCAACCGCCCCGGUAAACUCUCAGGCGCAAGGGACCGCGCUGAUAA